CAACAGCAACACCUACUACUCCCGUACCAACAUAAAUAUAUACAGAUAGAUAAUACAAAUCGAGGAAAAUAAAAAGGUUUUCUUUGCUCUCACAAUGACUGCAAUUGUAUGUGCAAACAAUUUGGCAAAGCUCUAUACUUGAACUGGAUGAUUGUUUACUUGCGAGGUGCUGGUGGCUUCUCAAAAUCAUCACCCCCAUAUUCGUGUAACAAGUUCCCCACCGGUCAGAUUAAGCAUGUUCAGUUUGCAAAAAUCUGGUACACAACAAGUCUGUAUAUGUUCAAUGGACUUGUAUAAUGCACUCUUCUAAUUUCUCCCGCAGUUGAGUAGACAGUUCAUGAAACCAAAAUUGGUUUCAUCGUAUUUAUGAUGAAACCAAAACUGGUUUCAUCGUAUUUUUGCUAAUUUUUGUCGAUGAAACCAGUUUGUUGGUGAAGUAGUUACUUGUAUUUUGCCUUAAGAAGGUUUAUCUACCUGGAGUCUUGUUACUCUAUUUCUAUCAACAUAUAAUGGCAGUAUAUUACAUCAAAAAACCAACAAACAAUGAUAGUAUAACUUACAAGAUUUUGUCUUGAAUCAUUUUGUGACAGGUUUAGUGGUCGAACUUCUCUUUGGCUCGUUUUGGUAGU